CUCUUGAGUAGCCCUUGAACUCCAACUGUUCUCAAGUUGUUGGAAUGAGUCUGAACCAUCUAUGAAACUCCAAAUGUCAUGAUCUAAAUCAAAAGCCAGCGAAAGACAUGGAGGCAUUAGGAGAUGACUCUUGAGAGGUCUCAGCUUCGUUCAAAGAAUCUUUUGAAGCCGCUUCAUCGGCAUUAAGUUUAGAAGCAAUCUUCGACCACCUGUAUCAAAAAUGCAGAAAAACAAGUGUCAAAAUUGAAACUUUGAGCCACACAAGGUAUUAACAAGA